ensembl:lncRNA
GCAAUAAAUCUGUCCUUCUUUAGACUAGUUGUGCAUCUGGAGCAUCAGCAUUUGUGGGUUCGAUUACAGGCUCAAAAUGAACAGUGCAAACUGGCUUCAACCAGAAUAGAAAGAGGAGUGGGAGGCCCCAGUGCACAACUGAGCAAGAGCCAAAAAGUGCUCGAGUAGCCUGCCCCGCUCCAGUAUGGCACCCAGGUCCCCACAGCCCACCAACACAACUGACUUGAGAAGAUCCAACGACAUGCAGCCAAAAUCAUCCCGCUCCCCCAUCUACACCUCCUACGACUUUGCAUGCAGUGACUUGGGCUUGGAGUUCCUCCGCACCCACCUCUGCAGAUCCUUUGCCCAGAAGCUUGCAAAGUUCCAGGAUGACAACAAAUGGCUAUCUCAGACGAGAGGCCAUGUCAGUGGCAGAUCUGCCCGAUCCAGUUACAAACUGAACCUUCCCCCUACUCUGACUGACAGGUUCUACAACAGCCCUAUGCCAUAGUUUGUGAGACUGCUUAAUGCUGCUGAACUGUAAUAUUGUAUACUACAUCUCAUAUUUUUUGUUUACUUAAGUUGGGCUUAUGUACACUGCAAUUCAGCUUUUAGCUGCAAAUGUGAACAAA